rnacentral:sRNA from 1 species
UGACCGCUCUGCGCAUGGCGUCGGCGAACGC